CCCACCCCACCUAGCCUCACCCUGUCUAGCACGACUCCGCCUAGCCUCACCUAGCCCCACCCUGUCUAGCACCGCCCAGCCUCACCUAGCCUAACCCCACCUAGCCUAGCCCCACCUAGCCUCACCUAGCCUAGCCCCACCUAGCCUAGCCCCACCUAGCCUAGCCUAGCCCCACCCUGCCUAGCCCCACCCCGCCUAGCCCCAACCUGCCUAGCACCACCCCGCCAAGCCCCUCCAGGCUCAGUCUGCUCUGCACCACAGGCCCCAUCUGCACACUAUGCAACUCUCUGGAUAUGUCCAAAAUAGCACCCUAUUCCCUAUGUAGUGCACUACUUCUGACCAGCACUACAUAGGGAGUAGGGAGCCAUUCGGAAUAGAACCAAUGUUCACAAUACACAAGAAGAACUUUAUUUAUUGAACAUAGUUUUCUAACUUUAACUUGACUACCUUUCUGUUCAUAUGGAUAUGGAACGAGAAACAAAAUCAUGGAUUUGAGGAUAUUUUAAAAAUAUUUAAUGUUUUAUUUUAUCACUGUUGGUUGCUCACAACUACUACAAUAUUUCUCAUAACGUUUAGAACAAUAAUACAAGUGUAUUUAUUCUGAAAGGAGAUGUGAAGAGGGCUUGCUUUGUGACGAUACCUCAGUGUGUUAAAACUCUCUGUUUACAUUGCAUACAAUACUUCAUCUCCUGGCCUCGUGUCCCAAAUGGCACCCUAUUCCUUAUAUAGUGCACUACUUUCACCGGAGCCUUAUCAGCCAAAAGUAGUGCACAACAUAGAGAAUAGGGUGCCAUUUGGGACGCACAACCGGUCUCACAUCAUCUCUGAACCCUCCAUGUAGAAUAACAGCCAUGUUCUCUCUUUAAGGCAGACUAAGGGCUGAGAGAGAGGUGGUAAUAUCACAUCUGUGAUAUAAAGGUCUUUGUUGCUGUUUCUUGGAUGAGACCAUAAUGUAGGCUAAUUGUUACUCCGCUUUCUGUGUUACCAGAUUGUGAAUGGUUUCAUUAAAGGUCGACUCAGCGAGAUGUCGUUGCACAAAGUUAACACGUAGUGGAUCCAUUUCCUCCACAACUAGGGAGCGUUGAAGCACGAGGUUCAACUACUCAAAUCAAAUCACAUUGUAUUUGUCACAUACACAUGGUUAGCAGAUGUUAGUGCGAGUGUAGCGAAAUGCUUGUGCUUCUAGUUCCGACAAUGCAGUGAUAACCAACAAGUAAUCUAACUAACAAUUCCAAAACUACUGUCUUAUAGACACAAGUGUAAGAGGAUAAAGAAUAUGUACAUAAAGAUAUAUGAAUGAGUGAUGGUACAGAGCAGCAUAGGCAGGGUACAGUAGAUGGUAUCGAGUACAGUAUAUACAUAUGAGAUGAGUAUGUAAACAAAGUGGCAUAGUUAAAGUGGCUCGUGGUACAUGUAUUACAUAAAGAUGCAGUAGAUGAUAUAGAGUACAGUAUAUACGUAUACAUAUGAGAUUAAUAAUGUAGGGUAUGUAAACAUUAUUAGGUAGCAUUGUUUAAAGUGGCUAGUGAUAUAUUUUACAUAAUUUCCCAUCAAUUCCCAUUAUUAAAGUGGCUGGAGUUGGGUCAGUGUCAAUGACAGUGUGUUGGCAGCAGCCACUCAAUGUUAGUGGUGGCUGUUUAACAGUCUGAUGGCCUUGAGAUAGAAGCUGUUUUUCAGUCUCUCGGUCCCAGCUUUGAUGCACCUGUACUGACCUCGCCUUCUGGGUGAUAGCGGGGUGAACAGGCAGUGGCUCGGGUGGUUGCUGUCCUUGAUGAUCUUUAUGGCCUUCCUGUAACAUCGGGUGGUGUAGGUGUCCUGGAGGGCAGGUAGUUUGCCCCGGUGAUGCGUUGUGCAGACCUCACUACCCUCUGGAGAGCCUUACGGUUGUGGGCGGAGCAGUUGCCGUACCAGGCAGUGAUACAGCCCGCCAGGAUGCUCUCGAUUGUGCAUCUGUAGAAGUUUGUGAGUGCUUUUGGUGACAAGCCAAAUUUCUUCAGCCUCCUGAGGUUGAAGAGGCGCUGCUGCGCCUUCUUCACGAUGCUGUCUGUGUGGGUGGACCAAUUCAGUUUGUCUGUGAUGUGUACGCCGAGGAACUUAAAACUAACUACCCUCCGCUGUUUUGGUCCUGUAGCUACCACGUUGUAGCAGCGUGAAGCGCGGGGUUAAACUACUCCUCUGUUUUGGUCCUGUAGCUACCACGUUGUAGCAGCGUGAAGCGUGAGGUUAAACUACUCCGCUGUUUUGGUCCUGUAGCUACCACGUUGUAGCAGCGUGAAGCGCGGGGUUAAACUACUCCUCUGUUUUGGUCCUGUAGCUACCACGUUGUAGCAGCGUGAAGCGUGAGGUUAAACUACUCCUCUGUUUUGGUCCUGUAGCUACCACGUUGUAGCAGCGUGAAGCGCAGGGUUAAACUACUCCUCUGUUUUGGUCCUGUAGCUACCACGUUGUAGCAGCGUGAGGUUAAACUACUCCUCUGUUUUGGUCCUGUAGCUACCACGUUGUAGCAGCGUGAAGCACGAGGUUAAACUACUCCUCUGUUUUGGUCCUGUAGCUACCACGUUGUAGCAGCGUGAAGCGUGAGGUUAAACUACUCCUCUGUUUUGGUCCUGUAGCUACCACGUUGUAGCAGCGUGAAGCACGAGGUUAAACUACUCCUCUGUUUUGGUCCUGUAGCUACCACGUUGUAGCAGCGUGAAGCGCGGGGUUAAACUACUCCUCUGUUUUGGUCCUGUAGCUACCACGUUGUAGCAGCGUGAAGCGUGAGGUUAAACUACUCCUCUGUUUUGGUCCUGUAGCUACCACGUUGUAGCAGCGUGAAGCGUGAGGUUAAACUACUCCUCUGUUUUGGUCCUGUAGCUACCACGUUGUAGCAGCGUGAAGCGCAGGGUUAAACUACUCCUCUGUUUUGGUCCUGUAGCUACCACGUUGUAGCAGCGUGAGGUUAAACUACUCCUCUGUUUUGGUCCUGUAGCUACCACGUUGUAGCAGCGUGAAGCGUGAGGUUAAACUACUCCUCUGUUUUGGUCCUGUAGCUACCACGUUGUAGCAGCGUGAAGCGUGAGGUUAAACUACUCCUCUGUUUUGGUCCUGUAGCUACCACGUUGUAGCAGCGUGAAGCGUGAGGUUAAACUACUCCUCUGUUUUGGUCCUGUAGCUACCACGUUGUAGCAGCGUGAAGCGUGAGGUUAAACUACUCCUCUGUUUUGGUCCUGUAGCUACCACGUUGUAGCAGCGUGAAGCGUGAGGUUAAACUACUCCUCUGUUUUGGUCCUGUAGCUACCACGUUGUAGCAGCGUGAAGCGUGAGGUUAAACUACUCCUCUGUUUUGGUCCUGUAGCUACCACGUUGUAGCAGCGUGAAGCACGAGGUUAAACUACUCCUCUGUUUUGGUCCUGUAGCUACCACGUUGUAGCAGCGUGAAGCGCGGGGUUAAACUACUCCUCUGUUUUGGUCCUGUAGCUACCACGUUGUAGCAGCGUGAAGCGCGGGUUAAACUACUCCUCUGUUUUGGUCCUGUAGCUACCACGUUGUAGCAGCGUGAAGCGCGGGGUUAAACUACUCCUCUGUUUUGGUCCUGUAGCUACCACGUUGUAGCAGCGUGAAGCGCGGGGUUAAACUACUCCUCUGUUUUGGUCCUGUAGCUACCACGUUGUAGCAGCGUGAAGCGUGAGGUUAAACUACUCCUCUGUUUUGGUCCUGUAGCUACCACGUUGUAGCAGCGUGAGGUUAAACUACUCCUCUGUUUUGGCCCUGUAGCUACCACGUUGUAGCAGCGUGAGGUUAAACUACUCCGCUGUUUUGGUCCUGUAGCUACCACGUUGUAGCAGCGUGAGGUUAAACUACUCCUCUGUUUUGGCCCUGUAGCUACCACGUUGUAGCAGCGUGAAGCGCAGGGUUAAACUACUCCUCUGUUUUGGUCCUGUAGCUACCACGUUGUAGCAGCGUGAAGCGUGAGGUUAAACUACUCCUCUGUUUUGGCCCUGUAGCUACCACGUUGUAGCAGCGUGAAGCGUGAGGUUAAACUACUCCUCUGUUUUGGUCCUGUAGCUACCACGUUGUAGCAGCGUGAGGUUAAACUACUCCUCUGUUUUGGCCCUGUAGCUACCACGUUGUAGCAGCGUGAGGUUAAACUACUCCGCUGUUUUGGUCCUGUAGCUACCACGUUGUAGCAGCGUGAGGUUAAACUACUCCUCUGUUUUGGCCCUGUAGCUACCACGUUGUAGCAGCGUGAGGUUAAACUACUCCUCUGUUUUGGCCCUGUAGCUACCACGUUGUAGCAGCGUGAAGCGUGAGGUUAAACUACUCCUCUGUUUUGGUCCUGUAGCUACCACGUUGUAGCAGCGUGAAGCGUGAGGUUAAACUACUCCUCUGUUUUGGUCCUGUAGCUACCACGUUGUAGCAGCGUGAAGCGCAGGGUUAAACUACUCCUCUGUUUUGGCCCUGUAGCUACCAUGUUGUAGCAGCGUGAGGUUAAACUACUCCUCUGUUUUGGCCCUGUAGCUACCACGUUGUAGCAGCGUGAAGCGUAGGGUUAAACUACUCCUCUGUUUUGGUCCUGUAGCUACCACGUUGUAGCAGCGUGAAGCGUAGGGUUAAACUACUCCUCUGUUUUGGUCCUGUAGCUACCACGUUGUAGCAGCGUGAAGCACGAGGUUAAACUACUCCUCUGUUUUGGCCCUGUAGCUACCACGUUGUAGCAGCGUGAAGCGUGAGGUUAAACUACUCCUCUGUUUUGGUCCUGUAGCUACCAUGUUGUAGCAGCGUGAAGCACGAGGUUAAACUACUCCUCUGUUUUGGCCCUGUAGCUACCACGUUGUAGCAGCGUGAGGUUAAACUACUCCUCUGUUUUGGCCCUGUAGCUACCACGUUGUAGCAGCGUGAAGCGUGAGGUUAAACUACUCUGUUUUGGCCCUGUAGCUACCACGUUGUAGCAGCGUGAAGCGUGAGGUUAAACUACUCCUCUGUUUUGGCCCUGUAGCUACCACGUUGUAGCAGCGUGAGGUUAAACUACUCCUCUGUUUUGGCCCUGUAGCUACCACGUUGUAGCAGCGUGAAGCGCAGGGUUAAACUACUCCUCUGUUUUGGUCCUGUAGCUACCACGUUGUAGCAGCGUGAGGUUAAACUACUCCUCUGUUUUGGUCCUGUAGCUACCACGUUGUAGCAGCGUGAAGCGUGAGGUUAAACUAUUCCUCUGUUUUGGUCCUGUAGCUACCACGUUGUAGCAGCGUGAAGCGUGAGGUUAAACUACUCCUCUGUUUUGGUCCUGUAGCUACCACGUUGUAGCAGCGUGAGGUUAAACUACUCCUCUGUUUUGGUCCUGUAGCUACCACGUUGUAGCAGCGUGAAGCGCACCCGUGCACAUGCUUUGUGUGACUGUAUCUCACUCAUCUCUAUAUCUUCGUUGCAACGUCAUCUCGAGGAGUCUACUUUUAAUUCCAUCGUAUCGUCAGCGGACGGUCUCCCAGUUGGGUCAGUACUCUGUCAGUACAUGUCUGUAUGGUGCUGUGUUUUAUGUUGGAAUAAUGCUUCCAGGAGACUGGACCUUGACAGCGUACUGCAUCUGAGAACCCUCCCUUUGUGAUAUUACUGAAACAUAACCAACUGCCAUAUCUACUUAAAAGUUAUAUAUUUUACAAUUUCAACAGAGCAAAACAUUGUAUUUUCAGAUGUGUCAAAUAAAUUAACUUUUUUUUUUUUUUACAACUUGUACUUAUCUCAGGUCAUAUUUAUCAUAUCCAGAGUGUGUAAAAAAAUGUGACUUAGUUUAUUUCACAGAAGGGUACAUUUGUUUAUUUAAACAAAUCAUAUUUCAAAGAUAUAUAUAUAUUAGUCAAUAGAAACAACCAUUUGGCUUAGUUCAUUAAAUGUCAGUAGUUACAGUGCCUUCAGGAAGCAUCACAACCCUCAACUGUUCACACAUGUUGUUGUUACAGCAUUCAUUUUUUUUAAAUGUACAUUUAGAUUUUAUCACUGGCCAGGACAUAACACCCCAUGUCAAAGUGGAAUUGUUUAUUUUUACAAAUGAACUAGUCAAUCUUAAUUCAACCCCUUUAUGGCAAGCCUACCAAGACGGUGGCCAAGUUACAAUUUUAACUUAAAUCUAUGGCAAUACCUGAAAACGGUGGUCUAGCAAUGAUUAACAACCAAUUUGACAGAGCUUGAAGAAUUUAGAAAAUAAUGUGCAGAUGUUGCACUAUCCAGGUGUGGAAAGUGCUUACGACUUACCCAGAAACACUCACACCUGUAAUCACUGUCAAAGGUGCUUCUACAAAAUAGUGACUUGGGUGUGAAAACUCAUGUCAAUUAUAUUUAUAUAUAUUUCAUUUAAGUAAAUUUGAAAAUGUGUUUUCACUUUUAUUAUGGGGUAUUUGUGUCUAGAUGGGUGAGGGGAAAAACAGAUCUAUAUAAUCCAGGCUAUAACAAAACAUGUAGAAUAAGUCCAUGGGUAUAAAUACUUUCUGAAGACACUAUAACAAACAUAUAAAACAACAUGUAAAGUUUUGGUCCCAGGUUUCAUGAGCUGAAAUAAAAGAUCCCAGAAAUGUUCCAUGUGCACAAAACGUUUCUGAAAUUAUGUGCACAUUAGUUAACAUCCCUGUCAGUGAGCAUUUCUCCGUUUGCCAAUUUAAUCCAUCCAUCUGACAGGAGUGGCAUAUCAAGAAGCUCAUUAAACAGCAUGAUCACUACACAGGUGCACCUUGUGUUUGAGGGAGAGUGCAAUUGGCAUGCUGACUGCAGGAAUGUCCGCCAGAGCUUUCAAUGUUUUUUUCUACCAUAAGCUGCUUUCAUUUUAGAGAAUGUCAGUACGUUGAACCGGCCUCAUAACCGCGGCCCACGUGUAACCACACCGUCCCAGGACCUCCACAUCCAGCUUCUUCACCUGCGGGAUCGUCUGAGACCAGCCACCCGAACGAACAGCUGAUGAAACUGUAGGUUUGCACAACUGAAUCAUUUCUGCACAAACUGUCAGAAACCGUCUCGUGGAAGCUCAUCUGCCUGCUCGUCCUCCUCAGUCAACCUCAUUGCAAUUUGGUGUCGUGACUGACUAUAGUGGGCAAAUGCUCACCUUCUAUGGCCACUGACACACUGGAGAAGUGUGCUCUUCAGGAUGAAUCCCGUUUCAACUGUACCGGGCAGAUUGCAGGCGGCGUGUGUGGCGUCGUGUGGGCGAGCGGUUUGCUGAUGUCAACGUUGUGAACAGAGUGCCCCAUGGUGGCGGUGGGGUUAUGGUAUGGGCAGGCAUAUGAUACGGACAACUAACACAAUUGCAUUUUAUCGAUGGCAAUUUGAAUGCACAGAGAUACAUGUGACGAGAUCCUGAGUCCCAUUGUUGUGCCAUUCAUCUGCUGCCAUCACCUCAUGUUUCAGCAUGAUAAUGCACGGCCCCAUGUCCCAAGGAUCUGUACACAAUUCCUGGAAGCUGAAAAUGUCCCAGUUCUUCCAUGGCCUGCAUAUUCACCAGACAUGUCACCCAUUGAGCAUGUUUGGAAUGCUCUGUAUCAACGUGUAGGACGGUGUGUUCCAGUUCCCGCCAAUAUCCAGGAACGUCACACAGCUAUUGAAGAGAAGUGGGACAAUAUUCCACAGGCCGUAAUCAACAGCCUGAUCAACUCUUAUUUUUAAAAGGUAUCUGUGACCAACAGAUGCAUAUCUGUAUUCCCAGUCGUGAAAACUAUAGAUUAGGUCCUAAUGAAUUUAUUUCAAUUGAACGAUUUCCUUAUAUGAACUAACUUGGUAAAAUCUUUGAAAUGAUUGUUUAUAUUUGUUCAGUGUAGCUUUGCUGGAGGCCAUUUUCCCUGAAAAGCAUAAUUGAUGUUUGGUCCAUACAGUAAGUACCAUGUUACUAGACCCCCUGUUUUCCUCAAACUAUUCUCUACUUUUCUAAAGCCAGUAGAGUCGACCAACUGUCCAAUCAUGGUCAUUUAGCCAACACUUAUCUAGAGUGACCUGAAUAUAUGGCGAGGUAAACAGUAAAACAAAGGAAAAUCCUACCACUGCUGCUCAGGCUCCCAGGUGAUUUAUAACGUUGUGACCCUGGGAACAGUGGUGAGCAGCGUUUUCCAGGAGUUUUCCCUACAACUCCAGGACCUGCGGAAAGCACCAGGAUGUCCGUAUGUUCUCCAGCUGUUGUAGAUGGGAAACAUCAGUAUAAUAAUAAUGGUGUAAAGUUUAAUUAAAUGACUGUCCUUGUAACUUGCCACGCAGGAGAAAAGAUCCAUGAAAGAAGGUAAACAAAGAACGGUGGACUAAAGCUCUAUUCAGUCUACAUCACUGAAGAGUUACAGAUUGCACAGUAGAAUUGAAGGAAAUUUUCCCGAUUUAAGCCAACACUCAACAGUUCUUGUGUCGUCUUAAUACUGAUCCUGUAGUCUUAAUAUUGAUCCUGUAGAGUCUUAAUACUGAUCCUGUAAGGUUAUAGUCUUAACACUGAUCCUGUAGAGUCUUAAUACUGAUCCUGUAGAGUCUUAAUACUGAUCCUGUAAGGUUAUAGUCUUAACACUGGUCCUGUAGAGUCUUAAUACUGAUCCUGUAGAGUCUUAAUACUGAUCCUGUAGAGUCUUAAUACUGAUCCUGUAGAGUCUUAAUACUGAUCCUGUAGAGUCUUAAUACUGAUCCUGUAGAGUCUUAAUACUGAUCCUGUAGAGUCUUAAUACUGAUCCUGUAGAGUCUUAAUACUGAUCCUGUAGGGUCUUAAUACUGAUCCUGUAGAGUCUUAAUACUGAUCCUGUAGAGUCUUAAUACUGAUCCUGUAGAGUCUUAAUAUUGAUCCUGUAGAGUCUUAAUACUGAUCCUGUAGAGUCUUAAUACUGAUCCUGUAAGGUUAGUCUUAAUACUGAUCCUGUAAGGUUAGUCUUAAUACUGAUCCUGUAAGGUUAGUCUUAAUACUGAUCCUGUAAGGUUAGUCUUAAUACUGAUCCUGUAAGGUUAGUCUUAAUACUGAUCCUGUAAGGUUAGUCUUAAUACUGAUCCUGUAAGGUUAGUCUUAAUACUGAUCCUGUAAGGUUAGUCUUAAUACUGAUCCUGUAAGGUUAGUCUUAAUACUGAUCCUGUAAGGUUAGUCUUAAUACUGAUCCUGUAAGGUUAGUCUUAAUACUGAUCCUGUAAGGUUAGUCUUAAUACUGAUCCUGUAAGGUUAUAUCACUCCUAUUGGCAAUGACAAUGUCAUCCGGUAAUAGUGCCUUCAGAAAGACUUCACGUUGUUACAACCUGAUUACUUUGAGAUUUUGUGUCACUGAUCU